AUGCUGCCGCCCGAAGAAAUCACCCUGAACGACGACGUCCUGACGGAGAUACUCCUUCGCGUGCCGCCCAAAUCCAUCCUCCGCGCCCGCGCCGUCAGCAAGCACUGGCGCCACAUCGCCACCCGCCCUUGUUUCCUCACAGCCUACGCGCUCCGACGCCAGCCGGAGAUCGUCGCGUUCUUCCGGCUCGACCAAGGCGAUGAGCCAGCCGACGACAAAAGCAGCACCAAUAGCAAAUACAACAAGAUCAAAAAAGCAGUUUGCGCCAUCCCAUUUGACGACGACUUGGAGGGUCGACCACUCCUCUACUAUGAUCCUACCACCAUGUUGUUCCGAGGCUUUUGCUACGGGCUCCUGCUUUUCAACCGAGGAUGCGACUCGCUCUUGAUCUGGAACCCAGCGACGAGGCAAGUGGGCCCCCUUCCAUCACCGCCAAUGGCAUCAUCGCGUGCUUCUGUUCAACCGUUUUGCUUCUAUUACCACCGGCCGUCCGGAAGGUACCGCGUGUUGUGCCAUGUCGAUGAUAUCCCCGCCGACGACACCGCCAACUACAUUCUUUCGACCGGCGCCGCCGAGCCGCGGCGGCUCGGGGACACCAUGCCCGACGGCGUGCUUCGGGAAUCGUCCGCCGUUACUCUCCACGGGAGCCUGCAUUGGCUGAUACACCCGGCUAAGUCUUGUAACCCCGACAAGAUGGUGGCCUUUGACACGGUGUCAGAGAAGUUCCGGACGAUGGCACCACCCCCGGUGCCGGCAGCAGAUAGCCUCAUCUACAAAACGCCUCACCUGUUCGAGAUGAACGGGGCGCUCGCUGUGUCGGCGAUGAGGGAUGCGCCACACAUGGAAGUGUGGACGCUUGAGGACUAUAAUCAGGAGAGGUGGGCAUGGCGCCUCAGGAUCGGCAUACCACAAUACCGGAUCUGCUCACCGUUCACGGCCUCGGCCAUCGGCGUCCUCGAGGUAAACAUGCUGGUCGUCCAACACGAUGGUCGGGUGAUGCUACACGACAUGGCUGGGAAGAGGAAUCAUAGGACAGUUAAAGUUGGGACGACAGGGGAUAUUUCAACUGUAUGGCGACACGGGAUCUACAUGGAGAGCCUCGUCCCGCUCACACCCUCUCCGUCAUGA
rnacentral:rRNA from 1 species